CACAGAACCCUCGCACAUCACCCUCGCACAGCGCCCUCACACACAUACUGCACCCUCACACACACACACAGCACCCUCCCACACACACUAUACUCCUCACAAAUGCACACUACACCCCUCACACACACAGCAGCCCCCAAACACGCUGCACCACUCACACACACACUCACUAGAUCUCCUAUACGCACUCCUGAGUCCUUCAAAC